CGUCUAGUCCAACCAAAAACUCUGUCAGCUGCUGCUGCUGCAGACGGUGUGCAGACUAACUCGGUGUCGGCACCGCGUGCAUCGACAGUCAUUCAAAGCAGUGGUAGUAAUCCCACAACCGGACGGUAAAGUCCCGUCAGUUAAAAAUAAUAAUCCAGUUUUUAAAUCCAUGUUAAAAUCGGCAUGAUAUAGAGCUAGUUAGCUUAAAAAGUAACAAACAGGGUCAAAUGUGAUGCUUUCAGGUCGGCUCAGUAAUAUGAUUGAUGUGUUCCAAUGAACCACAAAAUAAAUGAAAUUUGAGAUUUUGCAAAACCUUGUUUUCCAAGCAAUAUAAAAUAGUGAAGAUGGAAUUAUGACCUUUUUAACGUCCUAUCUUGAGCUAUGAUCAUUUUAUCAGCAAUUGAAGCAAUAAUGCAAGUUCUAUUACAACAAAAUAAUAGAAAAGUAUCAAUAGUGGUAUCAAUAAAGACUUGGAAUGUUAAAGGAAAACUUCACCCAUUUCCAUUAAGCUUUGUAUCGUUAGAAACCCACUCAGAUUUUUGAAUGGUCGUGCAUCAUUCCUUAUUUUCCCCUGAGACCGGAGAGAUCUGUAUCGAUCUCUAACACUUCCCAUUUUAAAUGACGCAAUAUGACGAUUUUUGCGUCAUUUAAAGCAGGAAGUUUAAGAGGGGAGGAUUCUCGUAGGACUACAAGCACCCCACUGACGCUACAAACCUAUUAAAUCAGUGCCAGUGGGUGGGACUUCACCAGCAGAAACUGACAUCCACAGCGUCCACAGAGAAAAAUGAAUUAACGACCAUGGCGGAAGGUACUGGAUCUGAUAUAGAAGAUGGGGAUUUCGAAGAUCUGUUGCUUGAAUCAGUUGUUCGUGGCUACCUUUACGAGCCGCAAUAUAGCGUCGAGCAGCUGAAGCUGUUAGAAGAACAGGAGGCAGCUGCUACAGCCAAGGCAGAAGACCGGAGUGUCACGGACACUGUGCUCUCACUGUGCGCCUAUGGACACAGAGGUAGAGUCCGUCUGCUGCAAAGAAUUUCAAAGAUGUUGAUUUCUUCUGGACGAAAUCUGAAUCGGACAAGGACACGGAUGUACCGUAUGUGCUGUGGAGCAUCCUAGUUUCCCACCGCAUAUGGACAGCGGCGUCCUGGAGGCCUAUUUCAGAAUCCCAAAGGUGAACUGGAAACGUCAGCCGAAGCCUGCAGGGACGAACGGACGUCCAACUGUAAAGCGAGAGCUUGGGCAGAGGCUGUCGUGUCGUUCUACCUACUUGCGUCGUGCAGACCAUCCGACUAAAAUAUCCAGCUCCAGACGGCCAGUACUGCGGGCACCAAGAAGCUGACGACGCUCAGGAGGAACUAUAAGUUUCAUUGUUUAUAUUUUUGUUUAUAUUCCAUGAAAUAAAUGGUUCAAAUUCA